rnacentral:rRNA from 1 species
UACGUUGGUGGCGAGCGUUGUCCGGAUUUACUGGGCGUAAAGAGCGCGCAGGCGGCUGGUCAAGUCCGAUGUGAAAGCUCCCGGCUUAACUGGGAAAUUGCAUCGGAAACUGAUCGGCUGGAAGGUGGGAGAGGGUAGCGGAAUUCCCGGUGUAGUGGUGAAAUGCGUAGAUAUCGGGAGGAACACCAGUGGCGAAAGCGGCUACCUGGCCCAUUCUUGACGCUGAGGCGCGAAAGCUAGGGGAGCAAACGGG